rnacentral:rRNA from 1 species
AGUGAACGCUGGCGGCGGGCCUAAUACAUGCAAGUCGAACGAACAGACGAUGAGCGUUCGCCUCUGACGGUAGCGACUGGCGGGUGAGUGACACGUGCAUAGCCUACCUCUAUUUCUGGGAUAACUACGUAAGACCGGUUCUGCUACUGGCUAAUAUAUUCAACGGCAGGGUUCAAUAGUGAUUGACGGUUUUGCUGUCUCUUAUAGAUGGAUCCGUGCCGCAUUAGCUAGUUGGUAAGGUAACGGCUUACCAAGGCGACGAUGCGUAGCCGACCUGAGAGGGUGAUCAGCCACACUGGAACUGAGACACGGUCCAGACUCCUACGGGAGGCAGCAGUAGGGAAUAUUGCGCAAUGGGCGAAAGCCUGACGCAGCCACGCCGCGUGAGUGAUGAAGGUCUUCGGAUCGUAAAGCUCUGUUGUUAGGAAAGAACAAAUGCGUAAGUAAAUAUCGCCGUUUUGACGGUACCUAAUCAGAAAGCACCGGCUAACUACGUG